rnacentral:rRNA from 1 species
GAUGAACGCUGGCGGCGUGCCUAACACAUGCAAGUCGAACGAUGAUGGAGAGCUUGCUCUCCUGAUUAGUGGCGCACGGGUGAGUAUACCAUAGAUAAUGUACCUCUUAGUUCGGGAUAGCCACUGGAAACGGUGAUUAAUACCGGAUACUCCUUCUUGUCUUAAGGCAAGUCGGGAAAGUUUUUUCGCUAAGAGAUCAGUCUAUGUCCUAUCAGCUAGUUGGUGAGGUAAUGGCUCACCAAGGCAAUGACGGGUAUCUGGUUUGAGAGGAUGAUCAGACACACUGGAACUGAGACACGGUCCAGACUCCUACGGGAGGCAGCAGUGAGGAAUAUUGCACAAUGGAGGAAACUCUGAUGCAGCAACGCCGCGUGGAGGAUGACGCAUUUCGGUGUGUAAACUCCUUUUAAGAGGGAAGAUAAUGACGGUACCUCUUGAAUAAGCACCGGCUAACUCCGUGCCAGCCGCCGCCGUAA